AGUGCAGGGAUGACAAACACUCCACGCAGACCAGCGACUCCACUCACAGUUCACGGCUGGUGGGUCGGGAAGUUCCACCCCUCUGGAACACAGUGUUAGCCACACAAUUAGCUACACAAUUAGCCACACUGUUAGCUACACAGUUAGCUCUAUUGUUUUCUCGGAAGUGGAAGUCGGCAAUUAGAAAACCUGAUGCGGCCCAGCCUCGCCCAGACCCUAGCUCCAGUGGCCCCCAAAACAUGUUUUGGACAAAGUUUGGACACUCCUGAAUGAAGAAAGAACUAGCCAUGACUUCCUAACAUGGAUGAUUCAUAUGCUGCUUUCUCAUUGGUCAUGUGACUACUGCGUCAUGUGACCUGAGUCCCAAUGAAAGAUGAAGACACACCAUAAACUGAAAUGUGAGUGAGAUGGAUUAGGUAAGUUUCCCAUGACAAACAUGAGCAUGUAGAGUAUGAAACACCUUACUAGCAUUCUCACUAUGGAUUCUUCACUAGAUGCCUUGCUCUUAGCACAUUUACUUACAGGAGGAGCACCUGGGGGGGGGGUCAGUGGUUUAAUGCUCAUCAUGGGAGGAUGAGCAUUAAACCUGACUACUCUACCACCUGCCGCCCCCGUCAGAUGGCCCCCUGGAGCAGACUCAAAAGGGGACAGCAGUUCCAGUUGUUGCUCUUGCCCAAUGCACCCCGUGCUGCGUCAUGUGAUCUCUUCUGCUGAAUCGCCAUUUCCUGGACAGAGAUUUUUUGCUGUCAGAGUGCAUGCAGACAUGGAUAGGACAUAUAGAGGAUUGGACAUAUAGAAAAGAGUAUGAGGUUGCGUGCCGGGGGUGAUAUUCCUACAGGGGCUGCUUCCUGCAACGCUGUCCAGCUACUCCCACUGGGGCAUUGCAGCC